UACGUAGGGUGCAAGCGUUAAUCGGAAUUACUGGGCGUAAAGCGUGCGCAGGCGGCUGUGCAAGACAGAUGUGAAAUCCCCGGGCUCAACCUGGGAACUGCAUUUGUGACUGCAUGGCUGGAGUGCGGCAGAGGGGGAUGGAAUUCCGCGUGUAGCAGUGAAAUGCGUAGAUAUGCGGAGGAACACCGAUGGCGAAGGCAAUCCCCUGGGCCUGCACUGACGCUCAUGCACGAAAGCGUGGGGAGCAAACAGG
rnacentral:rRNA from 1 species